UACGUAGGUGGCAAGCGUUGUCCGGAUUUAUUGGGUUUAAAGGGUGCGUAGGCGGUCUAUUAAGUCAGUGCUGAAAUACUCCAGCUUAACUGGAGGGGUGGCAUUGAUACUGAUGGACUUGAGUACAGAUGAGGUAGGCGGAAUUGACGGUGUAGCGGUGAAAUGCAUAGAUAUCGUCAAGAACACCGAUAGCGAAGGCAGCUUACUGGGCUGUAAACUGACGCUGAUGCACGAAAGUGUGGGGAUCAAACAGG
rnacentral:rRNA from 1 species